rnacentral:rRNA from 1 species
AGUGAACGCUGGCGGUAGGCCUAACACAUGCAAGUCGAACGGCAGCACAGUAAGAGCUUGCUCUUACGGGUGGCGAGUGGCGGACGGGUGAGGCAUACAUCGGAAUCUACUUUUUCGUGGGGGAUAACGUAGGGAAACUUACGCUAAUACCGCAUACGACCUACGGGUGAAAGCAGGGGAUCUUCGGACUUUGCGCGAUUGAAUGAGCCGAUGUCGGAUUAGCUAGUUGGCAGGGUAAAGGCCCACCAAGGCAACGCUCCGUAGCUGGUCUGAGAGGAUGAUCAGCCACACUGGAACUGAGACACGGUCCAGACUCCUACGGGAGGCAGCAGUGGGGAAUAUUGGACAAUGGGCGCAAGCCUGAUCCAGCCAUACCGCGUGAGUGAAGAAGGCCUUCGGGUUGUAAAGCCCUUUUGUUAGGAAAGAAAAGCAGCAGGUGAAUAUCCCGCUGUUCUGACGGUACCCAAAGAAUAAGCACCGGCUAACUUCGUG